rnacentral:rRNA from 1 species
UACGUAGGGGGCAAGCGUUAUCCGGAUUUAUUGGGUUUAAAGGGUGCGUAGGCGGAUCGUUAAGUCAGUGGUCAAAUUGAGGGGCUCAACCCCUUCCCGCCAUUGAAACUGGCGAUCUUGAGUGGAAGAGAAGUAUGCGGAAUGCGUGGUGUAGCGGUGAAAUGCAUAGAUAUCACGCAGAACCCCGAUUGCGAAGGCAGCAUGCCGGCUUCCUACUGACGCUGAAGCACGAAAGCGUGAGGAUCGAACAGG